rnacentral:rRNA from 1 species
GAUUCUUCCACGGCGCUCGAAGCGCGUCGUGGUAUUUCGCGUAUUGUAAUUUCAACACGAGCGGGGUCAAAUCCUUUGCAGACGACUUAGCUGUGCGAAACGGUCCUGUAAGCAGUAGAGUAGCCUUGUUGUUACGAUCUGCUGAGGGUAAGCCGUCCUUCGCCUCGAUUU